rnacentral:misc_RNA from 1 species
CAGCGUCGCGAUGCUGAUCGCGCUCGGGGUCGAGCGCAACAGAAGCGCCAGCAACGCACCGAACAUCUGACACGCAAGGAUAAACAACAGCCCGGCCGACAGGAGCCAGCGGCUACCGUGCAACGGCAGGUCGAAAUAGCCGAACAGCCACAGAUCCGACAGACCGAGCACGGCCAGAAAGACGAGGGUGAGUGGCAGUAUUUU